UACGUAGGCAGCAAGCGUUGUUCGGAGUUACUGGGCGUAAAGGGUGCGUAGGCGGCUUCUUAAGUCUGAUGUGAAAGCCCACGGCUCAACCGUGGAGGGUCAUUGGAAACUGGGGAACUUGAGUGCAGAAGAGGAAAGUGGAAUUCCAAGUGUAGCGGUGAAAUGCGUAGAGAUUGGGAGGAACACCAGUGGCGAAGGCGGCUCACUGGACCGGUACUGACGCUGAUGCGCGAAAGCGUGGGGAGCAAACGGGG
rnacentral:rRNA from 1 species